rnacentral:rRNA from 1 species
GUAAUACGGAGGAUCCAAGCGUUAUCCGGAUUCAUUGGGUUUAAAGGGUGCGUAGGCGGAAUAGUAAGUCAGGGGUGAAAUCCUACAGCUUAACUGUAGAACUGCCUUUGAUACUAUAAGUCUUGAAUAUUGUUGAGGUGGGCGGAAUACAUCAUGUAGCGGUGAAAUGCUUAGAUAUGAUGUAGAACACCGAUUGCGAAGGCAGCUCACUAAGCAAAUAUUGACGCUGAGGCACGAAAGCGUGGGGAUCAAACAG